rnacentral:rRNA from 2 species
UUAAGCGACUAAGCGUACACGGUGGAUGCCCUGGCAGUCAGAGGCGAUGAAGGACGUGCUAAUCUGCGAAAAGCGUCGGUAAGGUGAUAUGAACCGUUAUAGCCGGCGAUGUCCGAAUGGGGAAACCCAGUGCAAUUCGUUGCACUAUCGUUAACUGAAUACAUAGGUUAACGAGGCGAACCGGGGGAACUGAAACAUCUAAGUACCCCGAGGAAAAGAAAUCAACCGAGAUUCCCCCAGUAGCGGCGAGCGAACGGGGAGCAGCCCAGAGUCUGAAUCAGCUUGUGUGUUAGUGGAACGGUCUGGAAAGUCCGACGGUACAGGGUGAUAGUCCCGUACACCAAAAUGCACAGGCUGUGAACUCGAAGAGUAGGGCGGGACACGUGGUAUCCUGUCUGAAUAUGGGGGGACCAUCCUCCAAGGCUAAAUACUCCUGACUGACCGAUAGUGAACCAGUACCGUGAGGGAAAGGCGAAAAGAACCCCGGCGAGGGGAGUGAAAAAGAACCUGAAACCGUGUACGUACAAGCAGUGGGAGCACCUUUAUGGUGUGACUGCGUACCUUUUGUAUAAUGGGUCAGCGACUUAUAUUCUGUAGCAAGGUUAACCGUAUAGGGGAGCCGCAGGGAAACCGAGUCUUAACUGGGCGUUAAGUUGCAGGGUAUAGACCCGAAACCCGGUGAUCUAGCCAUGGGCAGGUUGAAGGUUGGGUAACACUAACUGGAGGACCGAACCGACUAAUGUUGAAAAAUUAGCGGAUGACUUGUGGCUGGGGGUGAAAGGCCAAUCAAACCGGGAGAUAGCUGGUUCUCCCCGAAAGCUAUUUAGGUAGCGCCUCGUGAAUUCAUCUUCGGGGGUAGAGCACUGUUUCGGCUAGGGGGUCAUCCCGACUUACCAACCCGAUGCAAACUACGAAUACCGAAGAAUGUUAUCACGGGAGACACACGGCGGGUGCUAACGUCCGUCGUGAAGAGGGAAACAACCCAGACCGCCAGCUAAGGUCCCAAAGUCAUGGUUAAGUGGGAAACGAUGUGGGAAGGCACAGACAGCCAGGAUGUUGGCUUAGAAGCAGCCAUCAUUUAAAGAAAGCGUAAUAGCUCACUGGUCGAGUCGGCCUGCGCGGAAGAUGUAACGGGGCUAAACCAUGCACCGAAGCUGCGGCAGCGACACGAUGUGUUGUUGGGUAGGGGAGCGUUCUGUAAGCCUGCGAAGGUGACCUGUGAGGGUUGCUGGAGGUAUCAGAAGUGCGAAUGCUGACAUAAGUAACGAUAAAGCGGGUGAAAAGCCCGCUCGCCGGAAGACCAAGGGUUCCUGUCCAACGUUAAUCGGGGCAGGGUGAGUCGACCCCUAAGGCGAGGCCGAAAGGCGUAGUCGAUGGGAAACAGGUUAAUAUUCCUGUACUUGGUGUUACUGCGAAGGGGGGACGGAGAAGGCUAUGUUAGCCGGGCGACGGUUGUCCCGGUUUAAGCAUGUAGGCUGGUUAUCCAGGCAAAUCCGGAUAAUCAAGGCUGAGGUGUGAUGACGAGGCACUACGGUGCUGAAGUAACAAAUGCCCUGCUUCCAGGAAAAGCCUCUAAGCAUCAGGUAACACGAAAUCGUACCCCAAACCGACACAGGUGGUCAGGUAGAGAAUACCAAGGCGCUUGAGAGAACUCGGGUGAAGGAACUAGGCAAAAUGGUGCCGUAACUUCGGGAGAAGGCACGCUGGUGUGUAGGUGAAGCCCCUGCGGGUGGAGCUGAGACCAGUCGAAGAUACCAGCUGGCUGCAACUGUUUAUUAAAAACACAGCACUGUGCAAACACGAAAGUGGACGUAUACGGUGUGACGCCUGCCCGGUGCCGGAAGGUUAAUUGAUGGGGUUAUCCGUAAGGAGAAGCUCUUGAUCGAAGCCCCGGUAAACGGCGGCCGUAACUAUAACGGUCCUAAGGUAGCGAAAUUCCUUGUCGGGUAAGUUCCGACCUGCACGAAUGGCGUAAUGAUGGCCAGGCUGUCUCCACCCGAGACUCAGUGAAAUUGAACUCGCUGUGAAGAUGCAGUGUACCCGCGGCAAGACGGAAAGACCCCGUGAACCUUUACUAUAGCUUGACACUGAACAUUGAGCCUUGAUGUGUAGGAUAGGUGGGAGGCUUUGAAGCGUGGACGCCAGUCUGCGUGGAGCCAACCUUGAAAUACCACCCUUUAAUGUUUGAUGUUCUAACGUUGGCCCCUGACCGGGGUUGCGGACAGUGUCUGGUGGGUAGUUUGACUGGGGCGGUCUCCUCCCAAAGCGUAACGGAGGAGCACGAAGGUUAGCUAAUCCUGGUCGGACAUCAGGAGGUUAGUGCAAUGGCAUAAGCUAGCUUGACUGCGAGCGUGACGGCGCGAGCAGGUGCGAAAGCAGGUCAUAGUGAUCCGGUGGUUCUGAAUGGAAGGGCCAUCGCUCAACGGAUAAAAGGUACUCCGGGGAUAACAGGCUGAUACCGCCCAAGAGUUCAUAUCGACGGCGGUGUUUGGCACCUCGAUGUCGGCUCAUCACAUCCUGGGGCUGAAGUAGGUCCCAAGGGUAUGGCUGUUCGCCAUUUAAAGUGGUACGCGAGCUGGGUUUAGAACGUCGUGAGACAGUUCGGUCCCUAUCUGCCGUGGGCGCUGGAGAAUUGAGGGGGGCUGCUCCUAGUACGAGAGGACCGGAGUGGACGCAUCACUGGUGUUCGGGUUGUCAUGCCAAUGGCACUGCCCGGUAGCUAAAUGCGGAAGAGAUAAGUGCUGAAAGCAUCUAAGCACGAAACUUGCCCCGAGAUGAGUUCUCCCUGAGACUAUAAGUCUCCUGAAGGAACGUUAAAGACGAUGACGUUGAUAGGCCGGGUGUGUAAGCGCAGCGAUGCGUUGAGCUAACCGGUACUAAUGUUGAGCUAACCGGUACUA